ensembl:snRNA U6 U6 spliceosomal RNA
GCGCUCGCUUCGGAAGCACACGUACUAAAAUCAGAACGAUGCACAGAAGAUUAGCAUGGUCCGGAAUGAGGGUGACACACAAAUUCGUGAAGUGUUCUGUAUUUUU